CAGUCGCCACGGUAAUACGAAGGGUGCAAGCGUUAAUCGGAAUUACUGGGCGUAGAGCGUGCGUAGGCGGUUUGUUAAGUCUGUUGUGAAAUCCCCGGGCUCAACCUGGGAAUGGCAAUGGAUACUGGCAAGCUAGAGUGUGUCAGAGGAUGGUGGAAUUCCCGGUGUAGCGGUGAAAUGCGUAGAGAUCGGGAGGAACAUCAGUGGCGAAGGCGGCCAUCUGGGACAACACUGACGCUGAGGCACGAAAGCGUGGGGAGCAAACAGGAUUAGAUACCCCUGUAGUCCCUGUCUCUUAUAC
rnacentral:rRNA from 1 species